ensembl:lncRNA
CAGAAAUAUUUUGUUCUCAUAUCAAAUUAUAUCAGAAUGGACUAAUAUCUUAUGGUUAACAUCUGUUAAGUAAAUACAUAUCAUUUAGCCCAUUUGCACAGGUGCUUACCACAAACUUACUACAAUGUUGAAAAACGGUUAAACUUUCCGUUAACAAACACACUGUCAUAUCAAGUGUCUCUUGAUCCUUAAUUAUGUAAUAUUCACACCAUGCUCUUAACAUAUGAAUCCAGUAUACCGGAGUAUGAAAGCAGAGCUUCAGCUUAACCCGAUGCUUCUCCAUCAUUACACCGCUGGCCUCUCUCUAACUCUGACCAUUUCAUUUCCUAGCGUGCCCUGGUUGGAUAUAGUUGGCAUGCCCGAUCAAAACAAACAAACAAACAAACAAAUAUGGGCGUACAUUGAAACCAUGCCAUCAUCUAGCUCUACCCCACCCCUACCUUCCCCAGGGUGUGCCUAUACUAGGGAGCACAUUAACACAUUUGCAUUCAAUCUUGGGAACAGAAGAUAGUAGUCAAACUGGUGAUAUGAAGUAAGGUUCCAGACCAGUUCCCCACACACCCAAAGUCCAUUGGCAGGUAACCCAGUUCCUGGAGUGAAGCUGGUAAUGCAGGAUUUUGUCCCAACUAGGCACCUAAUAGACAAGAUCAGUGAUUGCCCUAAAUUCACCACUCCAGGUCCAGGGUUGUCUACUCUCCCCUAAACUAACAACAGACCCUAGGCUAUAGCAACACCUUAGAACAACAGCAGGCCCUAGUCUACAGCCACACACUAGACCAACAACAGAUCCUAGGCUGUAGCCACACCUUAAAACAACAGCAGGCCCUAGGCUACAGUCUCAUAUAAGAAGAACAACAGAUCCCAGUCUACAGCCACAUCCCAGAACAACAACAGGGCCUAGGCUACUGUCACAUCUUAGACCAACAACAGGGCCUAGGCUUCAGUUACAUCUUAUACCAAAAAGAGGGCCUAGGCUAAAGCCACACCCUAGAACAACAGGUUCUAGGCUAUAGCCACAUCCUAUAACAACAACAACAGGUCCUAAGCCUCAGCCACACCCUAGAACAACAACAAUAGGUCCUAAGCCUCAGCCACAUCCUAGAACAACAACAGGGCCUAGGCUACAGCAACAUCCUAGAACAACAACAGGUCCUAGUCUACAGCAACAUCCUAGAACAACAACAGGGCCUAGGCUACAGCAACAUCCUAGAACAACAACAGGGCCUAGGCUACAGCAACAUCCUAGAACAACAACAGGGCCUAGGCUACAGCAACAUCCUAGAACAACAACAAACUGACCCAUCAUACACAGUCAAUACAGAGACCCUCUUUUCCCACACCUCCAUAUGGUAGAGAGUCAAGGACAAUGGCAGGAGACAAAUGUACUGCACCGCUUGAGCAACAGUAAAUAAAUAAUCAUUUAAAAAGACAAAAAAACUUUCCUAUGGAACAGUAAGUGCAAUGUGCUUUGUUUUUAUAUUGACUGAGAACAAAAAGAUAUAUAUAUUUUUUAAAAGAAAAAGAAAUUAAACGUCACACUGAAAUGGUUUGCGGAAAUAGCGAAAGGAUCAAAUGUAAAGAAACAAGUGUUAAUGCACCGAUUCAUUAAAGAGAAUCUAACAAGCACGGAUAGAGAGUUCUGAUCUCUGAAAAUGUCCAUAAUCCCUUCCUCAGCCCCGGAUUAGUGCUCUAAACAUGCAAGCUAAAAGUAACUACAUAUUAUUAUUGGGUGAAAUAAAAAAGAGCAAUGUAAUUGAAAAUACCUUGAAAGGGAUACUGUCUAAUAUAUCAUCAGUUUUAGCCCAUGUCGAUUUCAGAAUAUAAUUUUUCCUGUAAUUUAUUGAUUUUCUUUUACAUAUCAAGACUCACAUGUUAACGUAGCGUAUUCGUGUUGUUGACGUUGCCAUAUAGGACACACAUGGGUCAAACGUUUUAUUUGGUUGCUUUGAUUGAGUAAACCUUUUAUGAUUUUUAUUCCAUUAUUUAAUUAGUUGCAGUUCUUAUGGUGUAUGCAGAUUUUAGACUUAGUUAGAAUUUUAUUUCAAUCAAAAUGUGUUCAAUUGUGUUUGUAAAAGUCUGUGGUAGCUUUUGUUGCAACAUAAAUAAUUUAAACAGAAAAAAUUCAAGAUAGCGCCAACAAACUUGUAUUAUUUGGGCGACUUUAAGCUUGUAGUUUUAACUUAUUGUUAACUUAAAAACUAUUUAUUAUUAUUAUUGCCUCGUAUAAAGUAUGUUUUGUGUAUAUUUAUGGUUUAUUUCAUUAUAUUUGCAAGUUUAAAAGAUUUUAAGUUUGCCAAAAUUGUGGUUACACCAUUUCUUUUCUUAAAAGGGAACAAAUAGAUUAAAAAACAGCUUUAGAAGUACGAUUUGGAAAUGUUCUCCAUAGUCAAAGAAUGCACUGCUAUAUUUAACUAAUUGAAGUGUAUAAACAUACAUGCUGUGUGCUAGAUGUUAUGCCUUUACUGCCUGUGUUCUGUUUGUCUUGUUCAAUGAAAACCUUUUGAUUAUUUAAUCUAAUCACAGUCUUGUUUUUCCGUCUGAGAACCCCUGGGGAGUGUCAGUAAGGACAUGGGCGGGGCCUGGGACAGGGGUGUGGCCUAUUGCAGGCUCCAGAUAGGAGCCUGGACCUUAGGCAGUGCCUGAGGCUCCAUGUGCCCUCAACAAGCUUUCUCUACUACCGCUGAUGAACAGAACUGCUGUAGGUAUUAGAAGCAUCAUUAUUCAUCAAACAGGGCAUCAGAGUUCUAUGUAGUUCUAACAGCAGUAAGAAAGCAUUGUUGAUGGUCACUGGUGUAGGAAAGGGGUCAGUGGUUCUUCUGUUUCUCGACAAACUGUAUUUUGUGUCUAUUUAUUUAGAAGAGGGGACACAGUAAUUUAGUGACGUUCUUCUUACAUUUUCCUGGAAUGGUAGAACAAAUCAAAGGAGAAAAUGAUCAAAACAGAUCUACUGGCAUCAAAGUCGGUAGGAAGAUCUCAAAAUCUCAUACUUCCAAACAUGACCAAAUGAACAAUGACAAAAUGUAACAAAGAAAAAAAAUAAACCUUUCAGUUUA